GGGGUUGUGGCUCGGUGGUAGAGCACUUGCCUAGCAGGUUUGAAGCCCUGGGUUCAGUUCUCAGCACUGCCU
rnacentral:tRNA from 1 species